rnacentral:rRNA from 1 species
UUGGUGGGGUGAUGGCCUACCAAGGCGACGACGGGUAGCCGGCCUGAGAGGGCGACCGGCCACACUGGGACUGAGACACGGCCCAGACUCCUACGGGAGGCAGCAGUGGGGAAUAUUGCGCAAUGGGCGAAAGCCUGAUGCAGCGACGCCGCGUGAGGGAUGACGGCCUUCGGGUUGUAAACCUCUUUCAGCAGGGAAGAAGCGCAAGUGACGGUACCUGCAGAAGAAGCACCGGCUAACUACGUGCCAGCAGCCGCGGUAAUACGUAGGGUGCGAGCGUUGUCCGGAAUUAUUGGGCGUAAAGAGCUCGUAGGCGGUUUGUCGCGUCGGAUGUGAAAGCCCGGGGCUUAACCCCGGGUCUGCAUUCGAUACGGGCAGACUAGAGUGUGGUAGGGGAGAUCGGAAUUCCUGGUGUAGCGGUGAAAUGCGCAGAUAUCAGGAGGAACACCGGUGGCGAAGGCGGAUCUCUGGGCCAUUACUGACGCUGAGGAGCGAAAGCGUGGGGAGCGAACAGGAUUAGAUACCCUGGUAGUCCACGCCGUAAACAUUGGGAACUAGGUGUUGGCGACAUUCCACGUCGUCGGUGCCGCAGCUAACGCAUUAAGUUCCCCGCCUGGGGAGUACGG